AUACGUUUCAUAAGAUAAUGGGAUAGCAUCUUCGAGAUAUUAGGGACAAGAACUAGGUAAAAUUUCGCAACUAGGACCCAGGGGGGCAAAUUAACAAGUACAGAAAUGAAAUUGAUGGGGAAAAAUUAUUAAAAAUUCCAAAUUGUGAUUAUUUUAAAGCUUUUCAAGUACCUAAAAUUUCCUCUGCAGGACACCUAUCUAAAUUAGGAAGAACAAUGACAAGUAAUGAAACUUAUUAUUCUGAGGACUAUCUCCAUCAUUUCCAUGCAAAAUCCAUGCACUGCAGGUUUUACUUUUGUCUAUAGCUCAAGAUGAUUCUAAACUUCUGACAAAUUUCUUAGCCUGCUCUAAGGUUAGAAACAUGAUCACAUUCCAGGAUCCUAGCCGCCCAAAGUUUGGAAUGAAUCCCUUAUAGAAAGCCAAAGGUCCAUCAUUCUUCAGCGUUUUAAUGAAGCAAUCUAGUGUGCUCUUGUAAGCAGAAUCCCCCAUCAUUCUUGACUUAACCUGCCAAAGAGCAAUGGACAAUGAAACUGUUAAUUAGUCUGACAAAGUAAAAUACCUUAGAUCAAUGAGUAAAAAUCAAGAGAUUAGUCCAAUAAUAAGUGCUAAUUACUAUGCACACACUGAGAAUCAAACCAAAAAUAAAGAUGGGUGCUUAUCAUGUAAUAUCGACAUGCAACAUUGUCUCUUCUGUUGUUUGCAAGAUAAUUUAACAUCCUUGACUAAAUUCCCACAAACUAAUUACAAAAACAAUGCCCACCUGAAAGACCAAUUAUAGACUAUUUUGAAAAACUCAAAAGUGAACGUAGACAUUGUACCACAUCAACUGGGGAGCCAAUACAAACAGCGAAGAAUCCUGCCCCAAGCCCAGAAAAAAGAUGAGUGACAACAUUGUCCGUGAACCCAGGAAUUUUCAAAAUUGUCUGCUUCACUUGAUCAUAGCUGGCGAGUUCAGCAGCAUUUAUAAUAGCAUUUCGUGCUAUGUUGGGUCCAAGACCAGUCCAAAGUGCACCAACUCCUUCCUGUCUGACAAUUGUAGAAUAAGCAUUCAAUGCUCCAGUAUAGCGCCUUGGCACACCCGGUGGUAAUUUUCCCUCAGCUUGAAGUCUAACUUUCACAAGAUCAGUUGGAUUUGCCACAGUAAUUGCCAGAGCACCAGUAGUAAGUGCAGCAAGAAUUUUCUUGGUCAAAGGAACAUCUCCAACAAAGUCACUGCCUACAUAAAAGGUCUUAACAGGCUCAUAUAACCCAAUUCUUAAGCCUCCAAACAGGCAUUGUCGGUGAAGGCCAGGUACAAUGCCUUUCCAGAGUGCUGAUAGACCUUCUUCCCUAGCAAUGGUGGCAACUGUGCCCAACAUACCCCUGUAUUUUGGUAAGGCCAGUCCCUCACCAGCAACAGCUUUCUUUUGGAGCUGGAGCCUAACUUUUGCAGUGUCAAGGGGAAUUGUGCAUAUCUCCGCAAAACAUGCAGCGAAAGCGCUACUAGCAAAAGUUCCGGCGAAUGAGAUAUCAGAUUUAGCUUUGGCAUCGGCCACCAUCCUUAGCCGCAGAGAAGCAAGGUUUAAGAGUGAGUGAAACGAGAAAAACGGAGGGGGCAGUUAGAGAAAAGACAGAAAGAAGAAAGGAGAGGAAAGGAAAUGAGAUUCGUGCAAAUGGAAUCUCGUGAAAAGUGAACGGCGAGAGGCAGCAGCCACCAGGUUGCGCAAUUAGGUCCCUCUUCUAUCCUGCCUUUUUUUAGC
rnacentral:misc_RNA from 1 species